GAUGAACGCUGGCGGCGUGCCUAAUACAUGCAAGUCGAGCGAACGGACGAGAAGCUUGCUUCUCUGAUGUUAGCGGCGGACGGGUGAGUAACACGUGGAUAACCUACCUAUAAGACUGGGAUAACUUCGGGAAACCGGAGCUAAUACCGGAUAAUAUUUUGCACCUCAUGGUUCACAAGUUAAAGACGGUCUUGCUGUCACUUAUAGAUGGAUCCGCGCUGCAUUAGCUAGUUGGUAAGGUAACUGCUUACCAAGGCAACGAUGCAUAGCCGACCUGAGAGGGUGAUCGGCCACACUGGAACUGAGACACGGUCCAGACUCCUACGGGGGGCAACAGUAGGGAAUCUUCCGUAAUGGGCGAAAGCCUGACGGAGCAACGCCGCGUGAGUGAUGAAGGUCUUCGGAUCGUAAAACUCUGUUAUUAGUGAAGAACAUAUGUGUAAGUAACUGUGCACAUCUUGACGGUACCUAAUCAGAAAGCCACGGCUAACUACGUG
rnacentral:rRNA from 1 species